rnacentral:lncRNA from 1 species
AAACUCGAAUGUGUGUACAAUAGCACACAAACGUGCUCAUAUUAUGAGAAUAAAGAGGUCUGGAAAAUAAAGAAAGGAUGGAGAUCAACACAAGGCUCGAUUUGUAGAGAAGACAAAAAAAGUAUAAUUAAGUGGAACAUUCUAUGUGAUUUCGAAAAGAGCUUAAGCUGCUGACACACUCGAUAGGUUGGAAUCAUAUCCAAGUUCUUUUUCAGAUGGUUGAGAUAAUUAGUUCAGAUAAUACCUUUCCAGUAUAAUUGGGAUUAUCAUAAACAGGGUGUUUAAAAGCCAUACUGGGUCUAAGAAAAGUAAUGAGACCUUCUAAAAAUACAGUUUUGAAUAGGUGUCGUUGGUUAAAUCUUAAAGUUCAGAUUAUUUUUGAAUAGCUUAGAUUAUAAGCCUUUGAUUGAUAUACAUAUUGUAAACAAAAAAAUAAUAAUUGUAUGUCGCGAUGGAGGCAAAAAAAGGCAACAUAGCAAUUUAAUCCGCCCCAGGAGGACAACCUCGAACACCAUGAAGGUCUUACACCUCAGGAAGGCUACAGUUUAUCGGGUCAGAAAUUGUUUGACUGAUGGGGACAACCUUAUCGACGAACCCUAGAUUGGAAGACCCACCAAUUGAAGUCUGAAGAUAUCAUGGAUGCCUUUAAGGUCAACCUAACGAUGAAGAUGUCAGAAAGCCAUGAAGAAGAAGGUGCACCGGUCUACUGUAAGUAAGGUCAUCUAAAAGGCUGUAAGAAAGUUGCUUCGAAGAAUUGAGAGGCCACUCCUGUCCCAAAGUCAAAAAUAACUCCUUCUUCAGUGAUGUUAACAAUUUUCGAAUGAUUUGAAGUACAACAGCAAGUGGAUCAGUUUUUUCUCUUAUGAAAAGACAUUGACUGUUGACCCCGUCUACAACAAGCAAAAUAAUCUGGUGUUAUGCAUUGGAAAGGCUGACAACAGCAUCAGGACAGUCACCAAGACCAAAAAUCCGGCCUCUGUGGUGAUGUUUGGGGUUGUGGCAUCAACUGGAGAAAAAAUUACUCCAAUUGGUUUCUUGUUGGAUACCGGUUACUCGCGGGGGACUACUUGACGGUGUUGAAAGAAAAUGGGGUCAUAUAGAUCACCAAAACCCUGAAUAUGUCCCACAAGGUCUUGUGCGUAUUUCUGCUGGACGGGGCUCUGUCCCAUACUGCUAAUAUUGUACAAGGGUGGAUGGUCAGCGACAUGAAAUCUGGCCCAAGAACCUUUGGACCCUCAGAGCCCGGACUUGAAUCCACUGGAUUGAUCUAUUUAGUGAUAAAUUGAUAAAAAGGCCUGCAAAGUACGCCACACGAAUAUUGAUGCCCUGAAGACUUCCAUUAACCAACUAUGACGGAUCAUUACAAAAUGACUACGUUACCCAUGUGUGCAAGUGAUUCCAGAGGCGAUUGGAGGAAGUCAUUGAGACUGAGAGUGCCCGGAUUCAUAAUUGAUGUGCAUUGUUAUAUUAAAAAAAUAUUAUGAAAUAAAAAUUUAUUUGUACAACA